UUGAACUCAGAAAUUUGCCUGCCUCUACCUCUGCCUCCCAAGUGCUGGGAUUAAAGGCAUGUGCCACUAGUGCCCCCCACCCCCCAAAUUAACUUUUAACUCUCUGAUGGUUUAAAUAAGAAAAUCCCUCAUAGACUCAUAUAUUUGAACACUUGGUUCUCAGUUGGUGAUGUGGGUUGGGGGAGGUUUAGGAGGUGUGGCCUUGCUGGAGGUAGCAUGCCACAAGGGGUGGGCUCUGAUUGUUUAUAGUCUCAUCCCACCUCCAGGUGCUCUCUCUGCUUCCUGCUUUCAGUUGAGGAUGUGAGCUCUCAGCUUCCUGCUCCAGUUGCCAUGCCUGCUGUUUGCUGCCAUGCUUCCCUGCCAUGAUGAUCGCUUAUCUCUCUGGAACUGUGAGCCUAAAUAAACCCUUCAUUCUGUAAGUUGCUUCUGGUCAUGGUGUUUUAGCACAGCAACAGAAAAGUAACCAGUGGUUGGAAACCAGAGAGUAGGCUGUUGCUGUGUAGACCAUGACCAUAUUUCUUUUUUAGAGGAAUAUGGAAGACCGAGACUUUGGAUUAGAAAAGUGGUUGGAUGCUUUAAGCAGACAGUCGGAGCAUGGAAGAUUAGUUCGGAGAGUAAUGCAGAAUGCAGUUGUCUGGCUCACAAGGUUUCAGAAGGGAACAAUAUUAGCAGUUGGACUAGAGCCCAUUUCUGUGCUAUUUUGGCAAAGAAACUGGGUGUCUUCUGCCCUUUUCCUAAGAAUUCACAUAUGGCUAAAAUUGAAAAACUAGAGCGGGAAUUCUAGCCAGGAAACUGUUGCAUGUGUCUAGACCUUGACCCCCUUCUGACAUGUUUUUCUUGAGCAUUUUCAGAUCUCUGAUUAAGGCAUUGGAUCUAUUUUCUGUUGAUUCUGCUACAGAGAGAAGGCUUCGUGUUUCAUUCUAUAUCAUGGAGCUACAAUUAAGAGAUUGCCUUGAGUCUCAUAAGAGACUUUGGAUGGUGGACUUUUAAGCAGUGUUGGGGCCAUUAAAGACUGGGGACAUUUUUAAGCUUGACUGGAUGCAGUUCGAAUGAUGAUCUAACCAUGAGCCUGUGGAGGCCAUGAAGUGGAAUGUGAUGGCUUGAAUAAAGAAUGACUCCUCUAGGCUCAUGCCUUUGACCACUCGAUUCCCAGGUGGUGGUGCUGGUAGGGACGAUUAGGAGGCGUGGCCUUCUUGGAGAAAGCACGCCACUGGGAGCAGGCUUUGAGGGUUUAUAGUCUUACCUCAUGUCCAGUUUGCUUUCUCUGCUUCAUACUUGUAGUAGAGUGUGUGAGCUAUCAGCUUCUGCAUCCAGUUGCCCUGCUUGCCUUUUGCUGUUGGGCUUCUCUGUCAUCAUUCAUGAUGGACUUUUAUCC
rnacentral:lncRNA from 1 species